CACUGUUAAUCAUUAGUUAUUUUUUCUGCCAUUAGUAUAGAUGAAGAUAGGAGAGUUUCUCAGGCACCUCUCUGAAGUCAUUGAACCAGUUUCUCCUCAGCUGAGACACAGACCUGUAGGAAGAAGAGAGAUUUUCCUCAUACUGUCAAAGUAGACUAGCCACUUCAUCUACCGUUGGUUGUUUGUUAUCUUUCCAGAUCACUCAUGCCAAGAUGCUGGCAUGCAAUGAUGGGUGCACUCCAUAAAACUCUGCCACAUAAAUUGCGUGCAUUUGACUUUAUCUGUAUAUUGAGAUGGCAUAUUAUCAUCCAGAUCACUUGCGAACAAAUGUGAACAGAGGAACAGCAUGUUGAAAGUUUCCAUGGAAAUAAAUCGGAGGCAUUACUUACAGAACAACCUACAUGUAUUGCUUUCUGUAUGACUGUGAGUACGGGUGAACACAUGCAUGCAUGUAGGUUGUAUAUGUACCCACAAUUUUUCUGACAGCAUACCUUCCUUCUGUGUUCUGUUUUUUUUGUGUGUGUGUUUUGUUUUGUUUUUAAUGUCUCAGUAGCUCUGUUUUCUGACAUUUGUUUCUUCUACCGUUAAUUGUCUAUUCAAUCUUAU